rnacentral:misc_RNA from 1 species
AUGGAUGAAUGUAGAGUUGGUUGUAGCUGACCUCCUAGAGGUAUGUGCACGCCUUCUCUUUCAUCCACACACCCCUGUGCACUUGUGAGACAGAGGCAUUUGUUUUCCUUUAAUUAGGGAACGGGUCUCUGUCUACUAUCACAUAAAAUCUAAUUUAUUUAAAACUGAAUGUAAUUGAUGUAACGCAUCUAAUAC